UACGUAGGGUGCGAGCGUUGUCCGGAAUUACUGGGCGUAAAGAGCUCGUAGGUGGUUUGUCGCGUUGUCCGUGAAAACUCACAGCUUAACUGUGGGCGUGCGGGCGAUACGGGCAGACUGGAGUACUGCAGGGGAGACUGGAAUUCCUGGUGUAGCGGUGGAAUGCGCAGAUAUCAGGCGGAACACCCGUGGCGAAGGCGGCCAGCUGGGCCGUCCCUGACGCUGAGGCGCGAAGGCGUGGGGAGCGAACGGG
rnacentral:rRNA from 1 species